UACGUAGGGGGCUAGCGUUAUCCGGAAUUACUGGGCGUAAAGGGUGCGUAGGUGGUUUCUUAAGUCAGAGGUGAAAGGCUACGGCUCAACCGUAGUAAGCCUUUGAAACUGGGAAACUUGAGUGCAGGAGAGGAGAGUAGAAUUCCUAGUGUAGCGGUGAAAUGCGUAGAUAUUAGGAGGAAUACCAGUUGCGAAGGCGGCUCUCUGGACUGUAACUGACACUGAGGCACGAAAGCGUGGGGAGCAAACAGGAUUAGAUACCCCGGUAGUCCCUGAGCGGG
rnacentral:rRNA from 1 species